CAAGUUUGAAAGCAUCAAUGAAGAGACCAUAAGUAAAACCCAUCUUGAAGUUGUUCAAAAGAGCAAUAGGAAAAGUCACUUUAGGCCGACUGUAAUAGAAGCGCGUCACAUACUCGGUAAUUAAGACGCAGACUACAGCAGCAAUGACAUCAUUGACUCCUAAAGCACCAAAAGAUAGGGAAAUUGUCUGAGCCACAUAAAAUCCACCCAGCAAUGAUAUACCUCCAAAUAGUGCCCUCCGUGAUGGGCUUUUAAAAUAAUUUCUUGAAAUCUCUGGCACGACACGGAUAAUAUCAACUAGCCGCCGAGGCCCUCCGCCAUUAUCUUGCACACCCGGCUAUGGAUCUUCCCCUUCUUUCAGGUACCUAACCUUUGAAAGGAAUUUUAGAUUCAUGACCUCAGAAACACCUAAAAGGGCAUUCUAUAUCCCUACCUUUUGUUGUCCUUAAAUGCCCCCUACAAAGAAGCUAGCAGCACUUUAACUAGAGGAGUUUUUUGUCUUUUCAUAAAAACAACCCGGCUUGGAUCUUCCCCUUCUUUCAGGUACCUUUGUUUAACAAAAACGAUGGAUUCUUUUUUCACAUGGUGGGUGUGAAUAUUCACUCUUCUUCGUGAUUUAACUUUUCAGUCUGAGUUAUUGUCCAAAUUGUAGUAUUUCUUAAGGGUAUAGCCAGGGUAAAUAUAUUUAUAUCAAAUUAAGUAAAUUUAAUAAAGUAAUAAUAGGCAUUAAUUAACCAUGAAAGUAAUAAAUUAACUCGUGAUUCUAUUAAUUUGAUACUACAAACGUGGGGUGCAGUUAAGUUUUUACCGAAUAGCAAGUGUUUGGUGAAUUUAAUUAGCUCCAUACUGUUAAGUUCAUUGCUAGUUUAUGAUUUUUAAAAGGCUCAAAGUCCAAGAACUGAUUGUCUGUAUCUCAGCUUCUCCAUCCUUUAAUUUGACUUGUAGGAUCUCCUUUUCCUCAGGUGUUUUCUGUUCAUGAUGUUAAUC
rnacentral:lncRNA from 1 species